rnacentral:lncRNA from 1 species
UGAGCUUUCUAAAAAUCAGCACUAUAAUUCGUUAUUUUCAAAAUCUUAGACCUUAGCUUCAGCCCUUGGUGGUAAUCUCUGGUCAGGUAAAGCCUGUCCAGCUGCAACGUAGCUCAACAUUUAUAUAAUGUCUCUUAAAGUUAUACAAGGAGUCUUAAGAAAUCUUGCAAGUUGAUAAGGUUAUUGCCAAAAUAUGAAACUUUACAAGACGUACGCAUGGCCAUUGGCCUGCCUCUAAAAGGGGAUUAAUUUCC